rnacentral:rRNA from 12 species
GAGCCCGAAAGGUGUAGUCGAUGGGAAACGGAUUAAUAUUUCCGUACCUUGGAUAGCUGCGAUGGAGAGACGGAGAAGGCUAGGUGAGCCGGGCGACGGUUGUCCCGGUUUAAGCGUGUAGGGAGUGGACUUAGGCAAAUCCGGGUCCACAAUUCUGAGACGCGACGACGACUGCUCUUUGAGAGCGGGAAGUCAUUGAUGCCCUGCUUCCAGGAAAAUCUUCUAAGCUUCAGGCUAUUCGAGACCGUACCCCAAACCGACACAGGU